AGGGUUGUAGUUAAAUUAACAUUUGAUUUGCAUUCAAAAAAUACUAAAUUAUUAGUCUACCUU
rnacentral:tRNA from 1 species